GCCUUCGUGGUGUAAUGGUCAGCACACUGAGCCGGUAUUUCAGAGGUCCGUGGUUCGAUUCCCGACAAAGGCA
rnacentral:tRNA from 1 species